rnacentral:rRNA from 1 species
UACGAAGGGUGCAAGCGUUAAUCGGAAUUACUGGGCGCAAAGGGUGCGUAGGCGGUUCGUUAAGUCUGUCGUGAAAUCCCCGGGCUCAACCUGGGAAUGGCGAUGGAUACUGGCGAGCUAGAGUGUGUCAGAGGAUGGUGGAAUUCCCGGUGUAGCGGUGAAAUGCGUAGAGAUCGGGAGGGACAUCAGUGGCGAAGGCGGCCAUCUGGGACAACACUGACGCUGAAGCACGAAAGCGUGGGGAGCAAACAGG